ensembl:piRNA 21ur-5000 ncRNA
UUGAGCGAUCGUUAGGAGUAG